CAGUCGCCGCGGGAAUACGUAGGGUGCGAGCGUUAAUCGGAAUUACUGGGCGUAAAGCGUGCGCAGGCGGUUAUGUAAGACAGAUGUGAAAUCCCCGGGCUCAACCUGGGAACUGCAUUUGUGACUGCAUGGCUAGAGUACGGUAGAGGGGGAUGGAAUUCCGCGUGUAGCAGUGAAAUGCGUAGAUAUGCGGAGGAACACCGAUGGCGAAGGCAAUCCCCUGGACCUGUACUGACGCUCAUGCACGAAAGCGUGGGGAGCAAACAGGAUUAGAUACCCCCGUAGUCCCUGUCUCUUAUAC
rnacentral:rRNA from 1 species